rnacentral:lncRNA from 1 species
UCUUUUGUUUUAACUUUUAUUUGUUAAGUGUUAUAUAGUUUUUGAAAGAUUUGGUAAAUAUGUUUAAAGUUUUUCUUUUUCUAUGAUAUCUGUUUAAUAUGUCUAAUAUAUGCACUAUACACCUAUUAAUCUCUUUACAUUAUUCUCUUUAGAUAUAUUAUAAAAUAGUAUUUAAAAUCAGUUGUCAGCCACAUGUGGUCUAUAUGAUGCAACAUGUUUGCAAUUGUUGGCAUGUCAUUUAAAAAUUUCAAUGCUGAUAAAACUGAAUUUUUUUAAAAAAAGAGUAUUUCCAGCCUUCCAACCAAAUAUUAGAGACUUUUACAAAAGCACGCUCACAAAAUAAUGCUUUUAUAAUCAAUAUAAAAGUCUUUCAAAUCGUUAAUCAUUUUCUAAAGGCGAAGAGGAAGAAUCAUUAAUCUUCAUACUAUUUAAUAAAGCUAUUUUAAUAAAACGCAAUACAAAUUGUUGUAAAUUAGUAUUUGAAUAAUUUUCACGUUGCUACCUUAUUUUGCAGUUUCCUAUCACUUUGUAUUGAAUUAACU